rnacentral:rRNA from 1 species
CAGCAGCCGCGGGAAUACGAAGGGGGCUAGCGUUGUUCGGAUUUACUGGGCGUAAAGCGCACGUAGGCGGACUUUUAAGUCAGGGGUGAAAUCCCGGGGCUCAACCCCGGAACUGCCUUUGAUACUGGAAUUCUUGAGUAUGGUAGAGGUGAGUGGAAUUCCGAGUGUAGAGGUGAAAUUCGUAGAUAUUCGGAGGAACACCAGUGGCGAAGGCGUCUCACUGGACCAUUACUGACGCUGAGGUGCGAAAGCGUGGGGAGCAAACAGGAUUAGAUACCCGAGUAGUCCCUGUCUCUUAUAC